rnacentral:rRNA from 1 species
UCCUACGGGAGGCAGCAGUGGGGAAUCUUAGACAAUGGGCGCAAGCCUGAUCUAGCCAUGCCGCGUGUGUGAUGAAGGUCUUAGGAUCGUAAAGCACUUUCGCCAGGGAUGAUAAUGACAGUACCUGGUAAAGAAACCCCGGCUAACUCCGUGCCAGCAGCCGCGGUAAUACGGAGGGGGUUAGCGUUGUUCGGAAUUACUGGGCGUAAAGCGUACGUAGGCGGAUUGGAAAGUUGGGGGUGAAAUCCCAGGGCUCAACCCUGGAACUGCCUCCAAAACUAUCAGUCUAGAGUUCGAGAGAGGUGAGUGGAAUUCCAAGUGUAGAGGUGAAAUUCGUAGAUAUUUGGAGGAACACCAGUGGCGAAGGCGGCUCACUGGCUCGAUACUGACGCUGAGGUACGAAAGUGUGGGGAGCAAACAGGAUUAGAUACCCUGGUAGUCCACACCGUAAACGAUGAAUGCCAGUCGUCGGGCAGUAUACUGUUCGGUGACACACCUAACGGAUUAAGCAUUCCGCCUGGGGAGUACGGUCGCAAGAUUAAAACUCAAAUGAAUUGACGGU